AUUGAACGCUGGCGGCAUGCUUUACACAUGCAAGUCGAACGGCAGCGCGGGCUUCGGCCUGGCGGCGAGUGGCGCACGGGUGAGUAAUGCAUCGGAACGUGCCCAGCAGUGGGGGAUAGCCCGGCGAAAGCCGGAUUAAUACCGCAUACGACCUGCGGGUGCAAGCGGGGGACCGAAAGGACUCGUGCUAUUGGAGCGGCCGAGGUCGGAUUAGCUAGUUGGUGGGGUAAAGGCUUACCAAGGCGGCGAUCCGUAGCUGGUCUGAGAGGACGACUGGCCACACUAGAACUGAGACACGGCCCAGACUCCUACGGGAGGCAGCAGUGGGGUAUUUUGGACAAUGGGGGCAACCCUGAUCCAGCCAUGCCGCGUGCGAGAAGAAGGCCUUCGGGUUGUAAACCGCUUUUGUGCGGGAAGAAAUCCUCUGGGCUAAUACCCCGGGGGGAUGACGGUACCGGAAGAAUAAGCACCGGCUAACUACGUG
rnacentral:rRNA from 1 species